rnacentral:rRNA from 1 species
CCUACGGGGCGCAGCAGUGGGGAAUAUUGCACAAUGGGGGAAACCCUGAUGCAGCGACGUCGCGUGGGUGAAGACGCGCCUCGGCGCGUAAAGCCCUGUCAGUAGGGAAGAAAAUGACGGUACCUGAAGAAGAAGCCCCGGCUAACUACGUGCCAGCAGCCGCGGUAAUACGUCGGGGGCAUGCGUUAUCCGGAUUUACUGGGUGUAAAGGGGGCGCAGACGGCGAUGCAAGCCAGGAGUGAAAGCCCGGGGCCCAACCCCGGGACUGCUCUUGGAACUGCGUGGCUAGAGUGCAGGAGGGGCAGGCGGAAUGCGUGGUGUAGCGGUGAAAUGCGUAGAUAUCAGGAGGAACACCGGUGGCGAAGGCAGCCUGCUGGACUGCAACUGACGUUGAGGCCCGAAAGCGUGGGGAGCAAACAGGAUUAGAUACCCUGGUAGUC